GUAAUUAACCUAUCAGUAACUCUCCGUCAGUCUCCUUCCACUGUUACCACUUGGUAUCCAUGUGAAACCAAAACCCUCUCUUCCCUCCCUUUGAUUCUUUCCUUCCGUUCUUCAGUUUAUAGAUCUAAUCACUGGCUAUGUGUGCUCUUCCUCUCAAGAUCAUUUCUCUCACUUUUCUUGCUUGUUUUUUUCUAACAAAGGCAUUCUGGGGUCUUGGUUCUGCUAAUUCUAGCUCUAUCAUAUCAGGUUAGGCUAAAAUUUCAUAGGCCAAAUAGAUGUCCUUGUCGACAUGGGUAGUUUUGCAAAGAUACUACCAGCUGCUUAGCUUUUGAUCAGUACAUCUGCUACUUUCCAUAGGAACUGCUGUUUCUCCAAUGGAAAAAAAUAUACUAGCUUCCCUCCCCUGAUUUACUUCAUAUUAUAAAGAAAAAAAAUAGGGUUUGUGGGUGUGUUUUUGUUUGUUUAUAGAGAUGGAGGUUCAACUUGUUAGAUUCUUCUUGGGUAGCUCUCAGAUAAUCACUUUAUGUUUUAACCACUGGUAACAGGCCACAUCAGCUGGUCCUCGUGCACACACCCUUUGAUGCUAAGAGUACCAAAAUUUUUUCUUAAUAUCAAUAUAUAAAUAUAUAUAGUAUUAAUAAAAGAAAAACUUUAGGAUAUAAAGUCUUUCUUUUUUAUUUGUUUUUGUUUUGUUUUUCUUCCAAAAGUUUUUUCCAUGAUCUUUGGUCCUUUGGGUCAAACUCAAAUGUUUUCCUUUCUCUCCUCUCCUUUUAUAUACUAAAUCCCAUAUUGAGUUCUAGCAAGGCUCUCUCUCUCUAUGUUGUGCAUGGAUAUUGGAUAGAUAGAUUGACAGUCGUUGUUUGCGGGUGUAGCAUCAUCAAGAUUCACAUGCAAAUGCACGGUGGUGGCGAUGGAUAAUACAAACUCUCUUCUUUUUUUCUCCCCUUCCCCUUUCUUUUCUCUUCUCCUUUAUGCCAAACUUGUUUGGAAAGUGAGAAUCUUGAUGAUGCUGCAUCGGCAAUAAACGACUAUACAAAAGACCCUUUCUUUCUCUCCGUUUCAAAGUAUAGUGUGCCACUUCGCACACUUCGAAAUCGUAACAUCAACGAAAAAAAAAAAAAGAUUUUCUCUUGGCAAAGGUUUCUCCCCCCAUUUCUCUGUUGUUGUCAGGGUAAGGUAGCCAUAACAAAUAGUGUCUACUAGGCUGUUUCAAAAGGACUUUGACUUGCAGAUCUAUGAUUAUUCCUCUGAGCCAGAUAUAUACUGCUGCAGUGGAAAUGGGUACUUUUUCAUGGAGAAGGGACUUUGCCCAGGAACUUAAACGAAAAAAAAGAAGAAGAAGAUAGAGCCUUUGACAUAAGCUGUUGAGAGGAUAUCUCAAAAAGAUUGGCAAAGGAGCAAUCUUCCCUGUCAGGAUGGUACUGGUUCUCUAAUGAGCUUCGAUGAAGGCCAACUAGGUGUUGGGCUGGCUUCCAGGAGAGACUGCAAACUCUAAAAGAAAAGGUGAGAGAGAAACGAGGUGAUUUCGAUUUGUUUUGUUUUAUGGGAUUUGAUGAUAUCAGCUAAAUAGCUUACUGCAAGUGUUUUUGGUUCUUCCCACCACCUUUGUCUUCACUAGAAGAAAAGAUUUCAAAACAUAUUUGAUUAAGUAAUUUUAAAAAAAAUAAAAAUAAAAAUAAAAAAAGUUUGUGGACAUUCUUCCAAGUGGAUUUUGUCCAUAAGAAUUACUAGAUCGUUGAAAAUUGGAACUGCUCUGAGGUACUUUCAAUGUGGAAAAGAGAGAUCAUGGUGGGAACAUGUCACAUUGGCAUUGCCAUUGUUUGUGUUUUGGGUAGCUUUUGCAUUAAUCACCCAUCACCCCUUGUUGGUGGACCAACCACCAGAGACGCAUCUUGCAACUUGGACCCUUAAGCAUGUUCUCUCUCUCUCUCUCUCUCUAUAAACUAUGCAGUCCCACCUAUUUCUCAUCUCAUCAAUAAUACUAGCUAGCACCGCAGAAAGUUGUUCAUAAUAUCAGUAAAAUUUUGCUUCUUCAGCCAUGAAAGUGAUAAUUCAAUCUACAAAAGAUUAUGGAUAUCUGUGUGCCUCCAUCACUUUCCAAGCUUUUGGUACUCAUAUUCUGUGCUCUAUACGUUAAGGGUAUAUGCCUCUAGUUUCUUCCUGCUUAGCCGUUCAUUGCAUUAAAUUCUUGUUAGCCAAACUGAUUGGCCCACUAAUUUAUCAACUAUUACAAAGAUAUCAUGGAAAAUCUUUUGAAUAGUUUGUCUUUCUGCCAAGUGAAAAACUAAGGUUUAAGCCAUAUUUGUAACAUGCAUAUGGACCUUCCUUCUGUUGAAUAUAUCUCUCGGUCAAGUUCUUACUGUAGCUCUUUGAGUCAGUUUUCUGUUUCAUUUCAGCAGAAAGAUCUUUCUGGGCUCUGAGUCUAGAAAGCUUUAUGUGCAUGAUUCUGUAACUAUUCAGCAUUGGAACUUGAGCUUUUAAUUUGUUUUGCUUCUUCAAUCUUCAACUAGUUUCCAUAUCUCUUCAUUAACUAGUUAAUUAAGCCCCCUUUUUGAUCUCUGCCCCUGAGUGUAAUCAUCGUUCACAUUAUCCAUUUCUAGUCUGCCUCUGAUCAUAUCUGCCUCUCCAAUUUUCAUGUCAGUCCCUUAUUUAAACUCCAUAUUCUCACUGCUAACAUAGAACUACCAUAUCAACAACUUUCUUCUUCAAUAUUUCAUGUUCAGAAGUUAGCAAGCUAAGUUUCAAAAUAUGACUUUCUGGUAAGGCUGGAUCUUUUGAAUUUGGCUGCUGUAAUACUUGGGUAGUUGUGAUGGUAUGCUUUUACAAACUCAAUCAAAUUCCCAACCUAAUAAAAUCAAUCAGCUAGGAAUAUCGUAUAAUUCUUCCUAAAAACAAUACAAUAUGCUAUAGUCAUAGAGAAAAAGUUUUCAAGAUUUUUGUUCUUAGAAGAAGAACGAGAUUCAUACAAGAAUAAUCAUAUCUUUAAAGAAACAAACUCACUCACGGAUGAACUAGUAAAAGCGAGAGUUUAAGGUACAAGAGAUUCUUAACCUUAACUUCAGAUUUGUAACUUUCCUUUUGCAAUUAUAAUAAAAAUCUCAGUACUUUUUCACAAUGAAAAACAAGCAGUGCACAUAGAUAACUCUUACCAUGUGCUUUUCUAUUUGGUAAUAAUUUCCUCCUUUAAUUAUAAGUAUUAAUAAGCACAAAAUAGAUGACUGGGAUUACGAAAUUCAAGUCCCAUCAUCAUUGAUUGGUGGUACCCCAUUUUUAAAUUUUCUCUGGUACUCCAAUAGGAAGAAAGACAAGCAUGCAUCUAUGGUACAAUGAAUGACUUCAGGCUAGUACACCUAUGCAGUAAUGCAUACGCGCAUUUGGUCGUUUAUAUAUGAAUUUACUGUUUUUUUUUCUUUCUUUAUCAGUCAAGAAAACCAAAAUUUAUUAAUAUCAGAAAAUCGAUAUGUAUGCAAUAUCCCAAUAUGUUUGAGAUACGCCUAUACUUAGAGAAACAAGAACAUAUUUAACUACCAAAUACAAAGUAUUUCGAAACGAAGCACACCAAAUUUAGAGAAAGAAUCCGCAAAAGAAUAUACUAUUAUUUGCAAGCUAUACAAUACCAACGCAGAUUUUCAAGGUCAAGACUAAAGGAUUAGCUUCAGAUGAUUUGGUUUUCAUAUGUAGGAACCUCACCUAGUAGUUACUUUAUUCCAAGUUCUCUCUUCUCACCUUGUAGUAAUCUUGGGGAUCUCUUUUUCUGUUUGGCUUUGCAUAACUUAUGUGAGUGCUUUUUGUGUACACUUACAUUUGCUUAACCUAGAAUCAUGGUCUAUUGUAAACCCAAUAGGACCCUUUUGGGAUGAUGAAGAAGUUUGAUAAUACUUCAAUUGUUACUGGUUUGGCCCUAAUCUCUAACAUUGAUUUACAACCCUUGUUUUAACUACAAUUAUAUGAUAAUUUUGCUUUGUAUUAAGAUCUUUUAGCCGUGUUAAUUAUGUAUUAUUUAUAAAUCAACAUUCUAUAAUCUACGAUUGAAUUCAAUCGAAAUUUUCUUUUAUCGGUUAUUUAUUUUACUAUGUACAGCUAUGCCGGUUUCCUUUGCUAAUAUUCAUCCGAAAAUCCAGCAGAGUAGUCUAUCAUCAAGCACCAGCUAGGUACGGUAUUAGAUAUUAACUUCUCUUGGCUUGAAACCAAGAUGAAAACACAACUGCAGGGUACUAUUUAAUUCAAAUGCUUCAACAAUCAUGGAAAGAAAGACAUCUAAUUAUAGGAUGGACUCAAGGGUAUAUAGCGCAAUCAAUAUUGUUUUCACAAUAAUAAUUUCUAUGGUCCUACUUCGUACAAAAAUAUUCUUGUGCCAAGAUUCCCAAGUCAUGUCAUGUGGGGCUGUCAAGGACAAAAGACUAUAGUCACAUGGUAAUGGAAAUUUGAGAAACUCUCGAUUUUGAUGACUUUGAUCAGUUCUUCGCAGAAACUAGAUAUUUUGCUUAUCCGUAUUGAACCCUGACUAUUGGUUGCAGAAACUAAUUAAGUAUUCAUUAUCUUUUUGGUUGCUUUUAUUGCUUUCAGAGCUUGGGAACUGGAUUAAACAAUAACUCAGCUAUGAUUCUUUCUUUUGCAUGGUUGUAUGUGGGAGCUCCUGCGUUGGAUAUCUGCACACCACACACAUCAGCAGAUUACACACUAUUUUCUGCCAAUGAAAGUUAAAUUGUCUGGUACAUUUUGAAUGCUAUGACUAGAGAGAAAUAGAUGAAUCAGGCUUUUUAGAUGCUGGUGCUUGAAACAAAUGAUAAGGUGAUAAAUUUCCAACCCAUCUAAUUGGCUUGGAAAAGAGGCUGCUACAUGAAAUCAGCCAACAAAAGGAACACAUGGGAAAUGCACAUAUAGGCUAAAAAUAUUUUCAUGGAUUAAGAUAUCCUUUUUGUCUUGUAUGCAUGGUUUCAGUUCAAGUCCAAGAAGCUGAAGCAAAUCAUUAAGCUUUUCAAUAUAAGGCACUUUAACUUAAUGCUUCUGCAUAUAUCUCUAAUCAUUCUGCCUUACACCUUCCAUGUGAUUAACAAUUGAAGGUUUGGAAAUGGAUGAAGUAAGUCUUACAAGUAAACCUGUAAUACCAUUCUCCCAUCAUCAAAGAUUAAGACUUAAAAUAUCUCCCAAAAGCUUCGUUUAAUGAAUGUGUGUUUUCUGAUAUAUAAAUCAAGCUGUUCCUUUCUCUGCACAUCCAUUUUCAUGAAGCGGGGCUUAGUUUGAGAGUGGGAUUUUUGUAGAUGGUUUCUGAGGAACAUAGCUAGCCACGCAGCUGUACCUCUUUUCCUUUGACAUCGAUCUGAAUCCAAUCAAAUAUAGUCCUUGCAUGAGAAAAGCUAUCCCAACAGUGAAGAGACCUGCUAUAAGACUUUGUAUGUCGGAAUUGUUGAAUCAAAAUCAUUCAUGUGUGAUAUAUGAACAUGAAAAUAUCAGAUUAGACAACAAGAACACGCCUGAUAAUCUUGACAAAUUUCUGUCAGAAUGAAAAACAUGAUCCACCAUGAUUAAGAAUCCCUUUUUCAAUGUUUUCACAUAGUAGUACGCACAAUUUUCAUUUUCCAUUUUAAAUUAAAUGAGCAUUGGCUGAGUGGACCCAAAAGGCCAACAAUGGUCCCCCAAUGUUGCGUGUUCGUGGUCCAU